rnacentral:rRNA from 1 species
ACCUCGGAUCAGGUAGGGAUACCCGCUGAACUUAAGCAUAUCAAUA